AUAGAGUUCCGCACUAAACCCAUCUGGUCCUGGGCUUUUUCUGAAUCACAGAAUAUUGGAGAUAAUAGAGUGAAAAGAAUACAAGAUCCAAAGGACGAUAUUGCCUGCUGCAAAACUGAAUCAUUUUUAUAUGACAGGAACAUAAGUCACCAGGAAGCCAGAUAUGAUGUGAUAGCCCAGAAGCCAAGGAAAUGCAGAACAUCCAUGUGAUCUCCAAACAGUGGAACCUUGUAAUCUACUGAAUGCAGAAGCUAACAAACAGCAGUGAGAAACCUAAUCCAGCCAGUACAACAGACUGUUGACAAGAAUAUCAGAGAAACAAUCAAUGGUACGUGUAAGUUAAACAAAUCAGUUACAGUCAAUGCAGGACUUCUUCAUGGAAGUUGGCAUCUCUGGAGAGACAUGGUUGUAGAUUUCCCACAUCACUGCAGCAGAAGAAAAGAAAGUUUGGAAGAAGUAAUCAGAAGAUAACCGAGCAAAGUGUCUUGGUCUUCCCUGUGCUGUGGUUUGGCUCUGAAGAAAUUACCCAACAACAUACAAUUGAGAAUUAUGCCUUUGUGGCAGACACAUUUUUAUUUUUUCCCCUGCUAUGAAUAUGUCUGAAAAACUGCAAAAUAAAAAUGCAAAAUAACAACUA